GAUGAACGCUGGCGGCGUGCCUAAUACAUGCAAGUCGAGCGAAUGGAUUAAGAGCUUGCUCUUAUGAAGUUAGCGGCGGACGGGUGAGUAACACGUGGGUAACCUGCCCAUAAGACUGGGAUAACUCCGGGAAACCGGGGCUAAUACCGGAUAAAAUUUUGAACCGCAUGGUUCGAAAUUGAAUGGCGGCUUCGGCUGUCACUUAUGGAAGGACCAGCGUCGCAUUAGUUAGUUGGUGAGGUAACGGCGCACCAAGGCAACGAUGCGUAGCCGACCUGAGAGGGUGAUCGGCCACACUUGGACUGAGACACGGCCCAGACUCCUACGGGAGGCAGCAGUGGGGAAUCUUCCGCAAUGGACGAAAGUCUGACGGAGCAACGCCGCGUGAGUGAUGAAUGCUUUCGGGUCGUAAAACUCUGUUGUUAGGGAAGAACAAGUGCUAGUUGAAUAAGCUGGCACCUUGACGGUACCUAACCAGAAAGCCACGGCUAACUACGUGCCAGCCGCCGCGGUAA
rnacentral:rRNA from 1 species